CAAAGAUUAUUAUACAACCUAAGUAUUUAAAGUUAUGUACUUGAAAUUUGAAGAAUUUGGCGGUGAUUUAGUCUUGUCAAAGGAACCUGUUUUUGAAUCGAUACACCACGAAAAAUCUUACUUAAGCUUGUUGUAGUAUGUAUACCAUCAUUAUUAGGUAAUUUUUAUAGAAUAAAUUACUGUAUAUUUGUUAAUAACGUUAAAUAUAUUAAAUCAAGGUGCAGCUAAUGCUUAAGUUAAAAUGGGUUACAAUAAAAUUUAUUUAAUACGGAAUAUCAAUUUAAACAGUUGAUUAGAAGGAGGAUUUGAUUGUAAAGUAAGUUUAAUAAGCUUAGUUAGAUAUAAGCUCUAAAUCAUGUACACACCGCCCGCUCACCCACAUACAAAAAAGUGGGUUCAUAAUGGGCCUUUACGAGUAGGGGCUACCACACGUGCUAACAAUUGUCUUCAAACAGUUGGGCAGCCAACUUUGCGAAAGUGAGCGAAUCCCAAAAAGUGGGGGCGGGAGUCCCGGAAUGCCCCCCCCCCACCUCAACUCCAUGAAGUCGGAAAUCGUUAGUAAUCGUGGAUCAAAAAUGCUACGGGUGAAUACCUUCCCGGGCCUUUGAACACACCGGCCCGUCACCCUUCAAAA
rnacentral:rRNA from 1 species